rnacentral:rRNA from 1 species
AACGAACGCUGGCGGCAGGCUUAACACAUGCAAGUCGAGCGCCCCGCAAGGGGAGCGGCAGACGGGCGAGUAACGCGUGGGAAUCUACCGAGCCCUACGGAAUAACGCAUGGAAACGUGUGCUAAUACCGUAUACGCCCUACGGGGGAAAGAUUUAUCGGGGUUUGAUGAGCCCGCGUUGGAUUAGCUAGUUGGUGGGGUAAAGGCCUACCAAGGCGACGAUCCAUAGCUGGUCUGAGAGGAUGAUCAGCCACAUUGGGACUGAGACACGGCCCAAACUCCUACGGGAGGCAGCAGUGGGGAAUAUUGGACAAUGGGCGCAAGCCUGAUCCAGCCAUGCCGCGUGAGUGAUGAAGGUCUUAGGAUUGUAAAGCUCUUUCACCGACGAAGAUAAUGACGGUAGUCGGAGAAGAAGCCCCGGCUAACUUCGUGCCAGCCGCCGCGGUAAAAC